ensembl:ncRNA F58H1.18 ncRNA
AGAGAGAAAGCAUGAAUGAAUAAAAUGAAUGAAUGAAAGUGGUGCCAGAGCCAAAGCCUGGGGUCCUAGAAGCGGGCUCUCAAAAAUAAUAAUCGGCAGAGAUUUUGAAGGCAGGGAAGCGGGGGACGGAAGGACC